rnacentral:rRNA from 1 species
UACGAGGGGAGCUAGCGUUAUUCGGAAUUACUGGGCGUAAAGCGCACGUAGGCGGCUUGUAAGUAAGGGGUGAAAAGCCCAGAGCUCCAACUCUGGAAUUGCCUUUUAGACUGCAUCGCUUGAAUCCAGGAGAGGUGAGUGGAAUUCCGGAAGUGUAGAGGUGAAAUUCGUAGAUAUUCGGAAGAACACCAGUGGCGAAGGCGGCU